rnacentral:rRNA from 1 species
GUGCAGCAGGCGCGAAACUUUUCCAAUGCUCGCAAGAGUGAGAAAGCAAGCCAGAGUGCUCUCUCGCAAGAGAGAGCUUUUCUUUCGUGUAAAAAGCGAAAGGAAUAAGGAGAGGGCAAGUCUGGUGUCAGCCGCCGCGGUAAUACCAGCUCUUCGAGUGGUAGGGAUGUUUAUUGGGCCUGAAGCAUCCGUAGCCGGCUGGACAAGUCCUCCGUUAAAUCCAGCGAUUCAAUCGUUGGAUUGCGAGGGAUACUGUUCGGCUAGGGGGUGAGAGAGGCCAACGGUAUUCCCGGGGUAGGGGUGAAAUCCUAUAAUCCCGGGAGGACCACCAGUGGCGAAGGCUGUUGGCUAGAACACGCCCGACGGUGAGGGAUGAAAGCUGGGGGAGCGAACCGGAUUAGAUACCCGCGUAGUCC